AGAGUUUGAUCCUGGCUCAGAACGAACGCUGGCGGCGUGGCUAAGACAUGCAAGUCGAACGGACCAUUAAUUUAUUAGUGGUUAGUGGCGAAAGGGUGAGUAACGGGUGGGUAACGUACCCUGUGCAUCGGGAUAGCGUUCCGAAAGGGGCGGUAAUACCGGAUGAUAUCAGAAGUCGAUGGGCUUCUGAUCAAAGAUUUAUCGGCACGGGAGCGGCCUGCCUCCUAUCAGCUUGUUGGUGAGGUAACGGCCCACCAAGGCGAUGACGGGUAGAGGGACUGAGAGGUUGUUCCUCCACAUCGGGACUGAGACACUGCCCGGACCUCCACGGAGGGCUGCAGUAACGAAUAUUGGGCAAUGGGCGCAAGCCUGACCCAGCGACGCCGCGUGUAGGAGGAAGUCCUUCGGGAUGUAAACUACUGUCAGGGGUAAGAAAGUACGCUUCGGCGUAUUGAUCGCACCCAGAGGAAGUCACGGCUAACUCUGUGCCAGCAGCCGCGGUAAGACAGAGGUGGCAAGCGUUGUUCGGUAUCACUGGGCUUAAAGCGUGUGUAGGCGGAAAAGUAAGCGUCUUGUGAAAGCCCCCGGCUUAACCGGGGAAUGGCGUGACGAACUGCUUUUCUUGAGGCAAGUAGGGGUGCAUGGAACUCUUGGUGGAGCGGUGGAAUGCGUAGACAUCAAGAGGAACGCCAGUGGUGAAAACGGUGCACUGGGCUUGUCCUGACGCUGAGACACGAAAGCGUGGGGAGCGAACGGGAUUAGAUACCCCGGUAGUCCACGCCGUAAACGAUGCCUACUAGGUUGCGGUAGUUCUGACACCAGCACAGCCGAAGCAAAAGUGCUAAGUAGGCCGCCUGGGGAGUACGGUCGCAAGGCUAAAACUCAAAGGAAUUGACGG
rnacentral:rRNA from 1 species